CCCCCGCAUCUUAGCUCUUUUACUUCAGUUUCUCUUUCUUCUUCACAUUCCUUUUCUCUCCCAUUCCCCCGACUACGUUCCUCUUUCAAUGCCAGCCUUUGUUCUUUAUUUUCACUUAAGAUAUUUCUUUCUCCCUGUAUGUCUUUUUGCUCAGCACCAUUUUUAGACACCAGGGAAGAUGUUUCUCUCCGGGCUUUUCCCACGGCACUCCUGGCUUUUUCUGUUAACUUUCUCCAAAAGUCUCUUGCUUUCUGUUGUUUCUUCCAGAGCACACAAGGAUUUUGGGACCGAGGGGACUCCUGGGCUUUGCUGGUAUAAGAAUGUGACUAAAUACUGCCACGAUUGGACUUAUCCUGGGAGUGCUGGUGCAAAUGCGACUGUAAGAAAGCUUCCACCAGGGGACUCAAACAAUUACAAGAUAACAGAAGAAACUGAUUGUGAAAAAUUGGGGUUUAGAUGAAUGGUUUAAGGGAUGGGGAAUAACUGAAUGGUUGGAAGAUAUCGUAAAGGAAACUUUGUUACUACUUUGUUAUUAUAUUGCUUUGAAUUAUUCCAUGCAUAAUAAAAUUGGUGACUCACUUGUUAGAAAAUACAGUAAAGAGGGUUUGUCUGGUGCAAGAAGAAGGGGGAAAUGUAGCAAUGUAGCUACAUUAGGCCAUAGUGUGCCCCAGCCAAACCAUCUGUAGAAUUUCUCAUCAGACCCUCUGGAAUUUCUCAAGGUUGCUGUUCUAGAAUAAAAAAGGAGAGGCUGAGAAACAGAAAAACAUCACAAGAACCACAUAACAGAGGGCAGUUAAACACCUGGAUUGUAACCAAUCAUAAACCUUGAGGAGUGCAUGCUGAACGUGUGGACAGUAUAGAGGCACCAAUCCAGAAAUGCGUGAUUGUGUGAACAGUUUUAGAAUCUAUAAAUAAGUGCAUAAUGUAAAUAAAGGGCUUCUGCGAAAUCAUAUUGGUUUGUCGUUGAGAGGUCCUGAGCUCCCACACACAUGCCCUGAGAACAGGAGAUCACAUUCAAGGAUUUCUGAGCUCCUCAGGCACUGUCAGCCACAACCCACCAUGCUGAGGAGUGAGUGAUCUCCGGCUGAAGACAAGUGCAAGAUUCUCUCCUGUCAGCAGCUUACUGGCUGGGAGUUUGGCACCUCGGAAGGGCCAUGGCUAACACAGCCCUUCUGCUUCAUGGGAAAAAUGAAGCCUUUACUUCACCAUUUGCUCUUGAUGUACAAUUUAAGGGCCUGCUUUUUCUUGUGGUCCUCAAAAGACACAGUCCGUUGAUAAAACGGAGAAAAACACCCCAACCUCUUAAAUGCUUUGAUAAGCCAAAGGAAACCUUGAGGAGCACACAGUGGGUCAGUGCUGCCUUACCAACCCAGAGGCCUUUCAUGACAGAGUGACUGCCUCACUGCACAAGAGCCGAGCUACAGAUGCCACCACUCUGGACUUCUGUAAUGCUCUGAACACAUCAUCCCUGCCAACAUGUCCCUUAUUUGGAGAGAUAUGGAUCUGACAGAGGCACAGUUUGGAGAAUGACGAAUUGACUGGGUGGUGACAUCCAGAGGGUUAUGAUGAAUGUCUCAGAGUCCUGACGGAUGUCAGUGACCAGUGGUAUCCCUCAGGGUGACAGCAAAACCACCCCUGGACACUGGGAACUCAAUGUCCUGAUGGUGCUGCUGGACAAGAGAGCUGGAGGUGCCCCCCAAACAGAACUGUUAGGAUUCCCCAAGUCUUUCAGCACUUGCUCAGUGAAUAAGCAGCUGACUGAAGUGCAAAGAUACUGGGAAAUCACACAAUCCCUUCCCUGGGAAGAAACAUCUCCCCAUCCAAACCUCACCUGUCUUUAUCCAGCU